rnacentral:rRNA from 1 species
AGUGAACGCUGGCGGCAGGCCUAAUACAUGCAAGUCGAACGGCAGCACAGCAGAGCUUGCUCUGUGGGUGGCGAGUGGCGGACGGGUGAGGAAUACAUGGGAAUCUGCCCAGUCGUGGGGGAUAACGUAGGGAAACUUACGCUAAUACCGCAUGCGCCCUUCGGGGGAAAGCCGGGGACCUUCGGGCCUGGCGCGAUUGGAUGAGCCCAUGUCGGAUUAGCUAGUUGGUGGGGUAAAGGCCCACCAAGGCGACGAUCCGUAGCUGGUCUGAGAGGAUGAUCAGCCACACUGGAACUGAGACACGGUCCAGACUCCUACGGGAGGCAGCAGUAGGGAAUAUUGGACAAUGGGCGCAAGCCUGAUCCAGCCAUGCCGCGUGAGUGAAGAAGGCCCUCGGGUUGUAAAGCUCUUUUGUCCGGAAAGAAAAGCGCCGGGUUAAUACCCUGGUGUCCUGACGGUACCGGAAGAAUAAGCACCGGCUAACUUCGUG